rnacentral:lncRNA from 10 species
GAGCUCCACCCCCACUUUGGGUAACCGUGAGUUGGGGUGGGGUCUUGGCCUUGCCCGCAGCUGGCGUCCGUAUGUCGUUAGAGCACUGGGAAAGGGGGCGGGCUGCUGGCUGGGAGGGGUCGGCGCGGUUUCUGGCGCGCCACCGGAAGGGCGUUAUCCUGGGGGAACUGAGAGUGGAAACUUUCCUCCCGGGAAAGGAAGAAACCCGACUGGAGAAAGGUAUGGAACAGGCUGACAGAGCUGGAUCCAAAGGGCUCAGAAUGGAGCAACCAAGGUGUAUUCACCUGAUGCUUUGGUCUCCCUAAGCUCUUCCAUAGAAACGAUCAUAUAUCACCUCGGCAAUUGUUUUACGAUUUCUCACUGUGUUUCUCAGAAUGGUCUCAGACUCCUGGCCUCAAGCGAUCCUUCUGCCUGAGCCUCCCAAAGUGCCGGGAUUACAGGCAUGAACCACUGCACUCAGCCUGUUUUCAACCUUAUAUAAAUGGAAUCCUACUGUAUGUGCUUUUUGAUAUCUGGGCUCCUUUGCUCUAUAUUAUGUCUGUGAGAUUAAUAAACUUGUUUGUUCAGUUACGUUACUGCUGUGUAGCAUUCUAUUGUAU